UAUCCUCAUGUCUGUACCCACAGCUCUACACCCACUGCCUCAGAUCCAUUUGAGGUCCUAGCACCUCUUAUAAGAUUAUUACAGAAGCUUCUUAUCUUUGUCUCUCAGCUUUCAGAUUCACUCUCUAUCUUGUCUCCCUCCAGCUCCUGGGAUCCUUCUGAAAUAUAAGUCUGAUCAAAUGCCCAUGUGAUGGCAUUCACAGCUUUCCUGGACCAGCUCCUGUCUUAUCAGCUUCAUUCCGGGUAGCUAUUCCUUGUCAUUUGAGUCACUAAAGGUCAUUCCUGGGUUACAAGGAAUUGUGAAGCAGGAAAUAAGAAUUCAUCUUCAGCCCCACCACCAACUCCUGUGCUUCUGGGUCCCUGAGCAAGCCUCUCUCCAGCCUCUGCUCUCAGUUAUUCCAUCUGGGAAAUGGGAAUAAAAAACUCCCACUUGAAAACAUGAAGAUAGAUUAGAGAUGAUAUUUUGAAGGCUCUGUUUAUGAGAUGAUCCAUCAGGUUGUCUCAGAGUCUCCAUCCAGCCCUUCAGCAACCGGAGGCGUUCCAGAUGUCUAAAAUAUCAAGUGGUGGAGAUAGAAAGCAAAGGAGGAUAAAUACCUUCAAAUCCUUGACCCAACAAUGUUGUGCAGAAACCAGAGAAAACCACAAGCUAUCAGACUUCACAGAGCUGAUGGGAGUUCAGCACUGUGACCCUGUUGAAUGGUCAUCUGUGAAACGCACAAAAAUCAGUUCCUCAGGUUCCUGUAGAAGAGUUACUACCACAGAAUCUUCAGACUUCGUUACCAUGUUUGGUUAAUGUCUGUUAAUGAUCUGGAGAGAGGUGAUAACUGCAUAUUAAUGAGGUUCACAAAGGAGCCAAAUUGAAAGCUGUUGCAAGCUCCAGUGGUGGCAGCCAUAAACCAGAGCUCCAGAGAGAACCGACUGACAACCGGGGACAAUACAUGUGGUGAAACCGCCAUACCGGAUGACUGUAAUUUCCAGAGUGUAUUGGAAAAGUUAUUCUGAGGACUCGCUCAGGCAGUCUCCUUCAAUUGAAAUGGAAUAAUACCCUUCCUGCUAUAUUUACUUGGAGAAGCCUUCCAAACCCCAUGGUCCAGCUCAGACCAUCUCUUUUUGGACAUCCCUCCUGAAUAUUCAGUGGAAUGUCAUCUUUCCUUUCUUUGCUUUACCAUAUGAAGAGACUUCAAGACUUUAAAAGGAAGAUCACAGUUGGAGGAUUACAAGUAUUUGAUUUAAAGAUUUACUAUAAAAUUACAGUAAUGGUGUCAGUCAGGGUUCUCUUGAGAAACAUAUUGCUGUAUAUUAAUGAGGUUCAGGGAGACAUACCCGUACCUAUAUAGAAUUAUAUGGAAGAGGACUGAUUAAUUUUACAUGUAUACAUGUAAUUUGUAAUUUUUAUAUUUGUGAAUUUAUUAUUUUUGUAAUUUAUAAUUAAUACAUAUAAUUUUUUAAGGAAUUGCCUCCUAGGAUUAUAAGGGCUAGCAAGUAUGAAAUGGUAGGGAAGGCUGGCAACUCAGGCAAGAGUUAAUGUUGAGUCUUGAGGCAGAAUUUCUACUCCAGAAAAUGUGAGUUUGGGAUCUUUAGAGCUUUCAAGUGAUUGGAUGAGACCCAUCCACAUUAUUGUGGGUAAUCUCCUUUACUUAAAGCCCACCUACGGUAGCUAUUAACCACAUCUACAAAAUACUUUCCCCCAAAAAUAAUCUAAAACAAAUACCUUUGCAGCAACACCUAGAUUAGGGUUUGAGUAUAUAACUGAGUACUACCAAAGCCUAGCCAAACUGGCACAUAAAACUAGCCAUCACUCAUGAUCAAGACAAUGUGAUAUUGACAUAAA